GCACAUUGCGGCCACGGGUUUUCCUGUGGCCACGCCUGUCCGAGGGUCGGCUUAUAAACUAUCACGACGCCCAAAAAGUCGUGGCUUGGAAUCUGCCAGCUGGCGUGAUUUCCUCUGUGGUUCGCCACGUGAGGUGCCAGAUCUAUGGCGUUUUCCUAAUGUCUCCGGACACAACCGCGUCUUGCUGGUAGCGCAGACGAGGGUGUGGCGGUAGAGUCGUGGCUCAGUUGACUGUAAUGGUAGCACGCUCUGCUGUUGUGCCUUUGUUAGUGUAACUGGUUUGAGAUGCUAUUGCUGUCCGUCCAAUCAUGAUCACCUACUAUGGUGUUCUGUUACCUGACCUCGGAUCAGACGUGAAU
rnacentral:rRNA from 1 species